GCUGGGCGCAGUGGCACACGCCUGUAAUCCCAGCACCUGGGGGGGCUGAUGCAGGAGGAUCACAAGUUCAAAGCCAGCCUCAGCAAAAGCAAGGUGCUAAGCAACUCAGUGAGACCCUGUCUCUA
rnacentral:sRNA from 1 species